CAGCCGCCGCGGGAAUACGUAGGUGGCAAGCGUUGUCCGGAAUUAUUGGGCGUAAAGGGCUCGCAGGCGGUUUCUUAAGUCUGAUGUGAAAGCCCCCGGCUCAACCGGGGAGGGUCAUUGGAAACUGGGAAACUUGAGUGCAGAAGAGGAGAGUGGAAUUCCACGCGUAGCGGUGAAAUGCGUAGAGAUGUGGAGGAACACCAGUGGCGAAGGCGACUCUCUGGUCUGUAACUGACGCUGAGGAGCGAAAGCGUGGGGAGCGAACAGGAUUAGAGACCCGAGUAGUCCCUGUUUCUUAUAC
rnacentral:rRNA from 1 species